ensembl:lncRNA
GCCACCGGCCAAAAUCUGGGGACAUUUUUCGCUGUCACGACUGGAGUGGUCCCGGCUUCGGGUGGGUGGAUCCAGGGGUCCUGCUCAGCCCCCAGAGUGUCCAGGACACCCCCUCCCCCAGAGCAUGACCCGCCCCCAGUGCUGGGGGCAGAAAACAUGGAGCGAGGUGACCUUCAGAUUCCAGAACAUUCUGUGGGUCCCAGCACCGGGGCCCACAGCUGUGCUGAGGCAGCUGGAGCCCCCGGAAGAUGAGCUGGGCUCGUCCUCACUCAGCACGUUUUACCCUCUCGAGGCGGCAGGGCUGACCCACGGAGUCAGGCAAACAUCACAGCUCGGAGCAGAAGCCUCCACUCCAUCCCACGCGAGAGCAGGGUCGAGGUGACAGCACAGCCCACACACCGGGGCCUCCAAGGCACACGGGCUGGCGUGCUGCCAGCUGCCACUCACCCGACAGUCCCCGCACACCCACAAUGACACGCGCUCCCUGGAAGGCGGAUGGGGAGGGGCAGAUCCCCUCUGGCGCAGGAGGAGAACACAGGGCGGGCCUCCUUGGCCAGAACCAGGCAGAACCAGGCCAGACGUGCUUCCCCUCCGGGGAGGCUGCCUGUGCUGUCUGUAUCUCUUCGACAGCACAUUCCCUGGGCACUUAGACUGCGGGGCCUUGGAGUGGUGGUGGAGGGUCUCCCUGUGAGGCGUCAACAGACUUUCUGUAAAGGGCCAAAGGGGAGCGGACAUCGGGUUCCUGAGCCUCGGCGCUGAGGACAGCUAAGCCUCGUGCACAGGUCAGUGCCGUGAUGUGUCUCCUACUUGACCGUCAGAGUUCAAGGGGACGUUGAAUGGCUGGCCAUUCUGGGCCGGGCUGAGGGGGGGGGGGUGGCUUGCUGUGGAGGCGGGCGCCUCACCCGAAGGGCUUCAGCGGGGCGUGCAGGGUGGCCACUGGCAGGACCAGAGCCGAGUCACUGGAUGUGACAGACGUUAUCUCAAAGCUGGCUCCCGUCCUGGCGGCUGGGAGGCACUACGUGGCCUCAGGGGCGUUCUUUUUACCAAGGUAGCCGUAGAGACAAACAAGGCUGAGAUCCUGCUCUCUUGACUUCGGCCGUCUGUCCAUCUGGUCUCAUUUCCAGAGGGUGUUGGGUGGCUUCUGUCGUGUGGGAGGAGGGACGGCGUGAAGGUGAGCUGGGCAAGGCGGCUCGGCCUGCGGUAGCCCCACGUCUCUCCCCUUGCACCUGCCCGCGGAGGUCUCCGCCACCCUCCCGCGGUUUUCUCUGUCGUGUGAUCUGUGAUCUUCACUCACAGUCAACCUCUGGCUUCCAACCGAAAUGCCGAGGGAAUUUUGAUUCGGGUUGUGUUUGAUUUAUCGGUAAAUUUGAGGGAGAUCGGAUGUCUCUGUGAUGUUGGAUAUUCCCAAGCCGUGUGUCUGCGCCUGAGUCUAAAAGAAAAAACGUCAGAAGGAGGCAGCCCCAGAAGACGCACGUGCUGUGGGUCCGUCUCGGGGAAGUUUCCAGCAAAGGCUGGUCUGCAGGGACGGGAAGGUGCUUGGUGGCCGCCAGGGGCUGGGG